rnacentral:misc_RNA from 1 species
GCUAGAUUAAGGUCAAUUCCAUUACUUGAAUCUAGACCGAAGUAUCAAAUGCGCUAUAUGACGGCAAAAGAGGCAUGUGGGAGUCAAAAUGUUGUAUACUUCCCUCGGGUUGUGAAGGUUUCAGAUAUAGUUUCUAUUUUGAGGAGCAAUGACCACAACGGGUUCCCAGUUGUUGACCACUCAAGAAGUGGGGAGACACUUGUCAUUGGACUUAUACUAAGAAGUCAUUUAUUGGUACUUUUACAAUCAAAAGUUGAUUUUCAGCAUAGCCCUUUACCCUGUGAUUCAAGAGGUGAUCUUUUGCCAAUCAGGCACAACCUUUGUGAAUUUGUGAAACCCGUUUCUAGUAAAGGGAUAUCUCUCCGUGAUAUCCAUUUCACACCAGAUGAUCUAGAGAUGUACAUUGAUCUUGCCCCAUUUUUAAACCCAUCUCCGUAUGUAGUCCCAGAAGACAUGUCAUUAACAAAGGUAUAUAAUCUUUUUCGCCAACUAGGACUGAGGCACUUACUUGUUGUUCCACGUCCUGCUCGUGUUAUUGGCAUGAUCACUCGAAAAGAUCUGAUACUUGAGGAUAAUGAUGAUCCAACGGCUGUAGAACUCCAAUCAACUAGUGUAAGAGGUACACAAUCUAACCAUAGAGUGAUCAAGAGGAAAGGAGAUGCACAACAGCCGCUUCUUGAUGGUCUUCUUUAAAGUAGAAUCCCAGCGAUGCACUGCUGUUUCUGCAGUGAAAAGUAACCUUCAGCGUCCCCUCUCAAGAUUUGGUGGCAGUAGAUCGCACUUCAUAAUCUAUCGUCAUUAGAUUCCAGGAAAUGUAUAGUGUAUUUAUUUCCCCUUGAGAGUCAUGGGAUUAUUAUAGCAAUCAGUUCAAUUUUUUAUUUUAUUUUUUGUAUUUCUUGCCAAUGGUUGUAUGCGAAAUUAGUCGAAAAGCUGUG